rnacentral:rRNA from 1 species
AAUCAACGCUGGCGGCGUGCCUCAGACAUGCAAGUCGAACGCGAAAGGUUCCUUCGGGGACCGAGUAGAGUGGCGCACGGGUGAGUAACACGUAGGUAAUUUGCCUUUGGGUGGGGAAUAACUCAGGGAAACUUGAGCUAAUACCGCAUAAUGCAGCGGCUCGACAUCGAGACAGUUGUUAAAGCGGGGAUUCGCAAGAACCUCGCGCCUAAAGAAGAAGCCUGCGGCAGAUAGCUAGUUGGUAAGGUAAUGGCUUACCAAGGCGACGAUCUGUAACCGGCCUGAGAGGGCGGUCGGUCACACUG